CAGACUUUAAUGGUCUAAUUAAAUAGGUUAUGAGCCUUUUAUCUCAUUUUUCUCCAAACGUAUUUCUCUAUCUAUCAUUUUUCUCCAAGGAAAAAAAAUGUGAUGAAGAAGCUGAGAAUUUUAACCCCUUUUCCUGCGUAGCUUCUUCCUCAACUUAAUUUUCGAUCGAGAUGAUUUCAGAAUAAGGGUUAGACUUUGUAGAAGUGGGAUGCCAUUAAUCCCAAGAAACAUGGCGAGCUGAUCAGCGUGGAUAUGAUAUUUAUUGAUGAAAAGGAAAAUUUGAUGCAUGGUAUAAUUAGAAAAAAUCAAGUUAAUAGGCUCAAAGACAAGUUGAGUGAAGGUUCUGUAUUUAUCAUCAAGAACUUCAAAGUUGUUGAAAGCAUUGGGGGGAUAUAGACCUGUUGAAAAUUCAUUGAAAAUUAUUUUCUUUGCCUCAACUGCGAUCAAGAAUUUAUCUGAAGAUAUUAUGGAGAUUCCUAUAAAUGGAUUUCAAUUUAUUAAACCAAAUAUGAUUGAUUCAAGGAUGAACAACAACACUGUGUUAUCAGAUUUGGUUGGUUGUUUAUAUGGAAUUGGUGAUAUGGAGAGUACUGGUCCGAAUUGGAGAAAGAGGGACAUCCACAUUCUUACUGAUUAGUAAAUUUACUCAUCUCAUUUUAAGUAGCUUUUGUUUGUUAUCUCCUUACAGGAGAAUUGUUUGAUACUGUUUUAUCUCUUUUUUCCUGCAUAGUUCGGCUAAAUCAAAAAUUAUCUUAUGGAAGAACUUGGGGAGAAGUUUCCCCCAUAUUUGUAUAGCAAGGAUGCUGGCCCGUAUAUAGUAAAAUUUUUCCUCAAAUACAUGCAAUGGUCUUUUAUAUGU